CCGCCGGCGACCGGCGCACGGGUGAGUAACACGUAUGCAACCUGGCCGUGACAGAUGGAUAACCGGGAGAAAUCCCGCCUAAUACAACAUAAUGCCGGGAGGGGACAUCCCCUGCCGGCCAAAGGGGGCGACCCCGGUCACGGAUGGGCAUGCGGCGCAUUAGGUGGUUGGUGGGGCAACGGCCCACCAAGCCGACGAUGCGUAGGGGUUCUGAGAGGAAGGUCCCCCACAUUGGAACUGAGACACGGUCCAAACUCCUACGGAAGGCAGCAG
rnacentral:rRNA from 1 species